GGCGAAAGAAGGGCAUCCUCUGAUGGGAGUGGACCGGAGUCCGCUAAAGCGAAGCAUUCCAGGGUCAAGGAUGCAUUCCAGGAAAGUUCUAUAAAAAUAUACCAUCAACUCCAACCUGAUAUUUGACCUAGCCAUGGAAAACCUCAUUGGCUCCUCACUGGAUCAGACCAUAAAAAUGAUCCAGGAAUGAAAAUCUAAGAUAAAUUCCCACCACUUCAAGAUGUUCUUAUACAAGUCAACAGUCUAGCAGAUCAGCCAGUCUCUUUCAUCAUCAAGCAGACAUACUCAAGAAAGAGGAAUAGUGAAGUGAAAUACACAGAAGCAUGUUCAAGUUCAUCUGUUGAAUCUGGAAUUGUGAAUAGUGACAAUAUUGAGAAAAAUACUGACUCCAAUCUGCAAACUUCAACUUCAUUUGAGCCACAUUUCAAAAA
rnacentral:sRNA from 1 species